rnacentral:rRNA from 1 species
UACGUAGGGCGCAAGCGUUGUCCGGAAUUAUUGGGCGUAAAGAGCUCGUAGGCGGCCUGUUGUGUCCGCUGUGAAAUCCCGGGGCUUAACCCCGGGCGUGCAGUGGAUACGGGCAGGCUGGAGGCAGGCAGGGGAGAACGGAAUUCCCGGUGUAGCGGUGAAAUGCGCAGAUAUCGGGAGGAACACCGGUGGCGAAGGCGGUUCUCUGGGCCUGUACUGACGCUGAUGCACGAAAGCUAGGGGAGCAAACAGG